UACAGAGGAGCCAAGCGUUGUCCGGAUUGACUGGGCGUAAAGGGCUCGUAGGCGGCCAACUAAGUCAUACGUGAAAUCCCUCAGCUUAACUGGGGAACUGCGUGUGAUACUGGAUGGCUUGGAUUUGGGAGAGGGAUGCGGAAUUCCAGGUGUAGCGGUGAAAUGCGUAGAUAUCUGGAGGAACACCGGUGGCGAAGGCGGCAUCCUGGACCAUUACUGACACUGAAAAGCGAAAGCCAGGGGAGCAAACGGG
rnacentral:rRNA from 1 species